GUGGGGAAUAUUGCGCAAUGGGGGAAACCCUGACGCAGCAACGCCGCGUGAGUGAUGAAGGCUUUCGAGUCGUAAACCUCUGUCCUUGGUGACGAAGAAAGUGACGGUAGCCAAGGAGGAAGCCCCGGCUAACUACGUGCCAGCAGCCGCGGUAAUACGUAGGGGGCGAGCGUUGUCCGGAAUUACUGGGCGUAAAGGGUGCGUAGGUGGCCUUUUAAGUUGGAUGUGAAAUACCCGGGCUUAACUUGGGGGGUGCAUCUAAUACUGGGAGGCUAGAGUGCAGGAGAGGGAAGCGGAAUUCCUAGUGUAGCGGUGAAAUGCGUAGAUAUUAGGAGGAACACCAGUGGCGAAGGCGGCUUUCUGGACUGUAACUGACACUGAGGCACGAAAGCGUGGGGAGCAAACAGGAUUAGAAACCCUUGUAGUCC
rnacentral:rRNA from 1 species